rnacentral:rRNA from 1 species
ACGAACGCUGGCGGCAUGCCUCACACCUGCAAGUCGAACGCGACCUUCGGGUCUAGUGGCGCACGGGUGCGUAACGCGUGGGAACCUGCCCUUAGGUUCGGAAUAACUCCCCGAAAGGGGUGCUAAUACCGGAUAAUGUCUUCGGACCAAAGAUUUAUCGCCUUUGGAUGGGCCCGCGUUGGAUUAGCUAGUUGGUAGGGUAAAAGCCUACCAAGGCGACGAUCCAAAGCUGGUCUGAGAGGAUGAUCAGCCACACUGGGACUGAGACACGGUCCAGACUCCUACGGGAGGCAGCAGUGGGGAAUAUUGGACAAUGGGCGAAAGCCUGAUCCAGCAAUGCCGCGUGAGUGAUGAAGGCCUUAGGGUUGUAAAGCUCUUUUACCCGGGAUGAUAAUGACAGUACCGGGAGAAUAAGCUCCGGCUAACUCCGUG